CACCCCCCAAGUGUAGCUUGGUAUUGGAUGUUCGCGGGCCCCCUUAUAGGGCUCGCGGGUCCGAAAAGCAGUGGCGGUCCCCGAGGAUUUCGCGCGUAGUAAAUAUUAUCCCGCGUUGGAAAGAAUCGGUGGGCUUGCCAAAACCCCUCAUAAUCUCCAUGAUUGACCUCGGAUCAGGUAGGGAUACCCGCUGAACUUAA
rnacentral:misc_RNA from 1 species